GUUUGUGAAGACAAAGGUUGCAUUCAGCGUCUUCUUCAGAGGUUUUUGUGUUGUUUUCUUCAGUGAGUAUUGGUGCAGCGCCCCCACAGGCGAGGAGGAGGACAGGUUUUUUAAAGAGUUUGGUUUGUUGGACAGUGCAUAAACCCCGGCAGCUGAAAAUGUGACAAAUGUUGCAAUUUUGGUUCCGAAUCCAAGCGUGUUCUGGCCUGCCAGUAUUGAUCAGCUGUGAUAUCGGCGAGCUGGAUGCAGACGGAUGGUGCUACCUGCAGUCAGAUCCCUGCCAUCCAAGUCUCUGGGUUAUAUAAUCGUGGAGUUCAUUGAGUUCCUGUGUGGGUGUCUUCCAUGUUUUGUUUGCUAUGUGAAAAGCUGGAGGUAGCAGAUAAAGUCGCAGGUCUGUGACAUGACAUGACUUCAUUCACAUGAAAAGUUUCCAUUUUGUCCAUGAAAAUGCUGCGU